rnacentral:rRNA from 1 species
AUAUGCCUACAACAUAGCGUUAAUGUGUCGGAUCCCAUUAGAACUCCACAGUUAAGCAUGUUCAGGCUAGAGUAGUAUUGGGAUGGGUGACCGCCCAGGAAGUCCUAUUGUUUUACAUGCC